AACUAGAUGGCAGAAACAUUUGACUACCGAAGGUUGGAUGGAUACGGAAGUUAGGAGGCGGGACUUAUUCUGGAGAGGUCUAUCCCAGUUAAGGACAAGGAGGACAGCUCCACCCCUAUUCCAGCAGGUUGCUGGUUUAAAGCGCCACUGCACAGUUACCCAUCAUGAGAAAUACAGGCUCAGUUUGCAAACAUGAGGUGUGCAGCUGUGAUACUGAUGUUGUGCACUCUGGCAGCAUUGACUAAUGCUGCCUGCUGGUUCACAGAAAAGGAAAAACCACGAGUAAUUGUGGACAGCGAUGGCAACACACGGAUUGAAGACACAGCCCAGAACCCUUGCCUGGAUGAGUUUGAUAAUCAGACCUAUCCUGUUGUGUCCACAUGGAGAAGCAGGAAAUGCCAGCGUUGCACUUGCACAGAGAGAGGAAUGGAGUGUUGCCACAUGUAAGUGGACCACAUGACCUUACAGGUCAAAGGAUGGGAAGUCCACGUGGAUAUGACCGUGACUGUGAGGCGCAUUAUGACUGGGAGAACUGCUCAUUCAAAGUAGUUAAAAAGUCUGACGAAGGCAUUUUUUGUCCCCACGAUGCUGUUGGGAAAUAACAAGGUUCUACAAGUGCAUUAUAUAACAUGGAUGGCAGAGUGCAGUGCAUCUCUGUUGUGUACACCAUCUGAGACCAUCGAUACAUGGGGAUCAACAUCACUAGUGAAAUAAUAAAAGAUAUCAUGAAAGAAA